CGUGUAGGUGGCUAAUUAAGUCAGGUGUGAAAUCCUUCCGCUUAACGGAAGAAGUGCACUUGAAACUGCUUAGCUAGAGUACGGGAGAGGAAGGUGGAAUUCCUGGUGUAGAGGUGAAAUUCAUAGACAUCGGGAAGAACACCGGUGGCGAAGGCGGCCUUCUGGCCCGAUACUGACGCUGAGACGCGAAAGCGUGGGGAGCAAACA
rnacentral:rRNA from 1 species